rnacentral:tmRNA from 1 species
GGGGGCGUACUGGUUUCGACGGGGGAAUAGAUGGGUUGAGUAGCGAGCCGAGUUGUCGCCAGCUCGAUAAAAAGGCGAACCUAAAGUAACUGCAGAAGAUAAUCUUGCAUUAGCUGCUUAAUUUAAGCAGCUCGUCCGGCUAAGUUUCCUCGCGGCUUAGUGCAGGGCGUCACCGAGCGAGGGUACUCUGAAGUCUUUUUCUCUGAGGGACUUUAGGGGAAACUUAUCAGAGAUAGCUCGAAGAAGCCUGUUCGUGGGCGUCGGCUGAGCGAAACUCAAAACACGAACUGCGCUCGGAGAGACUCAGCUGGUCUUUCUUUCGGACGGGGGUUCGACUCCCCCCGCCUCCACCA